rnacentral:lncRNA from 1 species
UGUUCCUGUUGCCAUGACUCCCCAUCGUGAUGGACUGUGCCUUCGAACUGUGAGUCAGCCAUCUGACUAUCACAUAAGAUGAACAUUCAGUGACCAUUCAGAACUUCAGCACAGCAGAUGCUCACCCUGGCAGAGUGGAGAGCCAGAGCCCUUGUUCUCACAGCACUUUCAGUUUCAUGGAAAAGAUAAGCAUCACACGAGUAAUUGCCCAACAGAAGCUAAGAGUUGAGUGUUGAUGGGUGAGGUGUACAGAGCUUGAAACAAUAAGGUUGCUUGGCAGGUGAGUAGGGUGCAGAGAAGGGAGCACAGAGCUCCCUUUUGGUAGGAGUGAGGCUGUUGCCAAGAUGAAGGAGAACAGAGAUGAGCUUACACUGAAGCUGGAUGAUGGUGUCAGGAUAAGGGCCGGAUGGAGACCUCUCUUUAUGAGCAGAGGCCCAGAGGAUGCAUCCCAGAGCUGGUUGGGGAUGAUCAUGGAUGCUGAAGCUGGAACGGUAGUCAAGGGACAGAGGGAUGAGUACUCAAGGAUCCACAGGGGCUUUGGGGCUCUAGCUUGAGCUCAUUGUGUGGUUGUAAGCAGCUCUAUGUUUACACAGGCCCUAACUGUUGUUAUAUGAGCUUAUUAGAAGGGAUAAGUGAUAGUACAGGGAGAUCUCUCAGGAAGGCUUUUCAUGGGUCCAGAUGGAGAGAGGUAAGGACAACUUGCGUGAGGCUGGUGGUGGUAGGCGUGGAAGUGGGGAUGGAUUAGAGGGCCAUUAUUAGAGUAUACUCUUUUUCCUCGAGGUAUAACAUGCUCAUUAAAUUGUCAUCUUCAAUCAGAGAUUACUAUGGCUUGGUAGCCAUGGCAACUGAACAGAACAGCACAGUGUUAGUCAGGCCUAUGGCGAUGGUAGUGGAACCCUUAAUACUCUCUAGUAGAAGAGGCAGGGUUACAGGACUCUGGCUGAGAUUGCAGCCAUUAGUCCUUUUACCUUGUUCCCCAGCUCCAAAUGAUCUUGGGAGACGCUAUAUAGAAGCUGGAAGGUUAACUGAAUGGAGGACUCCAUGAUGCAGCUCCAUUGAGCUCAUCCAUCACUCAUGAUUGGAAAAGUUCAUACAAUUGACAUGUAGGAAGAACCAGGAACCCUGGUUACUGAUGGCUCGGGGAAAGAAGACUGAGAUACUGAUGGUGACACUACCCACUUCAAGUUUCUGGUCUGGGCAUCAUUGGGUGCAACAGGUGGUUGGAGGAGAAAUGCAGCCGGCUUGAGGAGGGUCCUGUUGAGCUGAUUACCAUGAGCCGCCCUAAACCAGAACUGAUCAAGCUCUGCUGGCAGCGUCUUUAGAACUUGGGUGGCCCCAUUCAAAGCUGAAAAAAAAAUCAACAAAAGGGCAAGGGUGGGGAGAUUUCAUGCACAUCCUUGAAUAAAGGAGUGAUGGUUUUCAAACUCUAUUUCUGAUACAUUUUCUAAAUUUUGAUGACAUCUCUGGCUUAAGCCCUGAAAAUUUGUGACAUUCUCUGAUCAAGCAUUUUCUUUGGAGAUUGGCUUGAUUAUGGGCUUGGGUCCUGAGUGAUUUUUUUUUUUUAAACAUAAGAAAUCAGCUCAUCUAGUACUCAAUAAAAUCCCCCUUUCCAAAGGAAUGGCCCUGUGCUGGAAGAUGUUAUGGCUUGGAGCAAGAGAAUAGGGCACUGUACUUAGGGAAUCUCCACAUUCAGGAGACAGAAGAUAAUUCAGAACUUACUUAUUUUAGCACAGCUAUUUAUUUUCCCAUAGGACCUAUGAUCUCCCCUGCCAUGGGAUUUCGACUGGUCUCACAGGAUUCCUUCCUGCAGAGUGGGCCUUAAAUCCAGUCAGAGAGCAGUUAGUGAGCUUCAUAGUCACCCUGUCACUAGUGCACUAGGCAUGCGUUGCCUGGCAGGGUGUGUCAUGGUCGGUGACCACCUGGUCUAAAGAGUAACAAUGUGGACAUGUGGAUAGGAAGGAGAUUUACUGAGUUCUUGCCAUGGUACAGACCCUGAUGUUCAUUCUGAUUUUUCUGGCACUUUAUGGCUUUUUUCUGGAAAGCUAUAGGAAUCCAGUAACGGCAGAGGCACAACCUUAGGCAUAACUCUUCCUGGCUGCCACAAAGAGGAUGGGAUUGAACCCAAGGAGGAAGCAGAACAAUUGUGGACAACAGAAGUCUCCUCAAUUUGGCAGGGGCCACGGGAAAACAAUAGCUUUUCUGAGAGCGGCUCUCCUAACAUUUGCUUCCUGUGUUCCCAGCAUCCAGUGCUCAUGAGAUGACCACGCUCGUCCUCUAUCUGUAGCCCAGCUCACAAUGCAACCUAAGUAUGUUCAGAGAUAUAAACUAGGCUAUAGCUGUACUGACUUGAACACAGCC